rnacentral:rRNA from 1 species
CAGCCGCCACGGGAAUACAGAGGGUGCGAGCGUUAAUCGGAUUUACUGGGCGUAAAGCGUGCGUAGGAGGCUUCUUAAGUCGGAUGUGAAAUCCCUGAGCUUAACUUAGGAAUUGCAUUCGAUACUGGGAAGCUAGAGUAUGGGAGAGGAUGGUAGAAUUCCAGGUGUAGCGGUGAAAUGCGUAGAGAUCUGGAGGAAUACCGAUGGCGAAGGCAGCCAUCUGGCCUAAUACUGACGCUGAGGUACGAAAGCAUGGGGAGCAAACAGGAUUAGAUACCCCCGUAGUCCCUGUCUCUUAUAC